rnacentral:lncRNA from 1 species
AGGCAUUCGGUCAUUGUGCAAUAGGAACAAAUAUAUUACAGAGAAAUACAAAAAUGAAAGACGAAGAAGAUGGGGAAUAUUACAAGUUAGGGGACUGAUGAAAUUGUAACGACCCAACUUUUCUAGGUAAGUCAAGAUCAUUAAUUUUUGACAAAAGACUUUGGUUGAUACAAAAUGAAAUGUAAGCCAAUUGAAAAACAACUUUAAGUAAUUUUCAAAUAUUCAAAAAAACUUAAAAAAGUACUAUUUACAAAUAAAAGUUUGUAAGCUAAGUUUCAAUACAACGUCUUUAAACCUCAAAAGAAACAAUAAGCGGAAGCAAAAUAAUACAUCUCCUAUGGCAAUCACGCUUCCUUCCUGCCCCUCGCCGGUUUGCCACCUUUGUUACUUUUGCCUGAAAAUUAAACAUAAGAAGGGUGAGUAUAAAAAUACCCAGUAAGAAACUCUCUACUGGUCCCGUCAGAGGAAAAAUAAAUUGUUAACAUUCUAUUAGGACACCCUGUACAGUCGCAGUCUUGUGAUCCCGUAGGAUGUACAUUUCAGUCUAACGCCCCGAGGGACGUACAUUUCAGUCUAGUGUUCUGCAGAAACACAUAUCAGUCUAAUGCUCUCGAAGGUGCAGAAUAAUUGGUGAUCCCGUGAGACACCUACAAGGCACACAUCCCAAUAAAAGCUAACAAUUUUUCCCCUCAAUCCAUUAGUACCAUCUUUCAGUUACUUCAAAACAUAAAGUUCUUUCACUCAACGUUCUAACAGUCAACUUAUCUCACUGCAGGCCAAUGUCUGUCAGUAACAUGCUAAUACAUCAGUCAAUCAAACUAUAUAGUCAUAACGCCACUCAGUUCACCAGCACACAGUCAUACUUUAGUAUAGCGUACACCCAGUCUAAACGACAAUCACAAAUUCACAUCUGCAUCUCAUACAAACACAAUCUACAAUUGUCGUCCGGUCUACAUCCACACACAUAUAUAUAUAUUCAAAGACAAUCACAAUAUGCAUUCAACAUCAAGUCUACUUCAAUCGAUGUGUAUAUAUAUUUUUUCAGUCAUCCACAGUAUACAUUCAACACCGAAUCUACAUCCAUACGUAUAUAUAUAUAUAUAUUGUCUCAACACAUUUACUCAAUCAGAGGUGACUAUACAGACAUUACAAUUCAAAAGCAUAGGUGAAAUUCAAAAGCAUAGGUGAGUCCAGUAGAAAAUCCCUUACUUUCAAGUUAGUUAAGCUCCUUAACCACGUUGAAGUCUACAAAGAACGAAUCUAAACAUUAAGACAAUUUCUCAAUAAUUCCCUUCAACGCAUCAAUCAUUUAAAUUCAACCCAAUGUGAAUUUUUACAACUUACCCAAAUCUUCGCGAAACGAAUUUCGUUUCAACCAGAAUCAAUUGUUUGCUGCAAACCCAAGGAAUUCGAGCGUUACCUUCAACCUAUAAUCGAAAUAAUCGAACAGUAAACGAUUUAUCCAACCAACUAAUCGAGCAAUAUUACUUGAGUUUAUUUUGGAAACAGUUAGGAAUUUCAUAACUUCAAUCUUACCAAUCAAUAUUUAAUGACUUGUGGCAAAACAGGAACGACAGCAAACGACCCAAUCCUGCGGCAGGACGAAGAAGGAACUCGACACGCAGAAAGUUGGAUAUGGGGUCUUUAGUUCGGUUCACGGCAGGUGUUAUUCGCGGAAGAAGUCGAGCAGCAGCUUUGCGAAGAGACGACGUGCGACGGAGAGACUGUAUACAGACGGACGGAGAGUCGCGCGGCAGUGCAGAAAACGGAGGAGAAAGGAAUCGGCGGCGGCUGGGCUGAAAACAGAGGAGAAAGGAGAGGGGAGACAGCCGGCGGUUACAGGUUCACGCGGCGGCCUUGCUUCGCGAACAGAGAUGGCGGUUGGGUUUGGCUUCGGUGAACGGAGAAAGAAACAGACGUGGCGGUUGGGUUCGGCUUCGGUGAACGGAGAAAGAAAAGAAAGACGACCGGAAAGAAGAAGAAACGACCGGCAGCUUGUGUGGCCGACUGGGUGAACGGAGAAGAGAGGUUUUGGGGUGGCGGCCGUGGAUCGGAGAAGAAAAGAAAGAGUGGAGAUCGACGGUUGGAGGGUGCGGCUGCUAAGGUAUGGGAGGAGAAGAAGAAAUCGGGAGGAAGAACGAAGUUUUUUUUUUUUUUUCUUUUAUUUAAAUAAUAAAAAUAAAACUAAAAUAUAAUAAAUAUAUAUAUAAUAAAAUUUCUUUUUCUUUUCUUUUAUUUAAACUAAAUAAUAAAACUAAAAUAUAAAUAAAUAUAUAUAUAAUUAUAUUAUCACAUUUUCAUCUUCUUUCCCCCUUCAACAUAUUUUCUUCAAAACAAUCAAUCUUGUACAGAUCGAAAAGAAAUCUUUUAAAAUAAAAUACAUUCGAGUUUGGGGCGUUACAGAAAUAUAGGUUCUUUUUCUAUCAAGUGGAAAAACUAUUCAUUUUCAUCUUUCUCUUUAUAGGUUUUGGCCCACUCGGACCUCUCGGUCGAUCUAUUGAGACGUAUGGCCUCUUGUUCCAUAAAAGCCUUUUUUGUUAGGUGACGAUAUUUAUAGUCAACUUUCAGCAAAAAAUUUCUAUUCUUCUCAGCAUGUGUAAGUGCCGACUCACCGAAAGGUGUUUGUUGCAAAGUCACAUCAUCUCCAACUUCCAUUCUUGUCCUUUUGUGAACCACUUUCCUUUGUUUUACUUUGGUCUUCUCACCUAAGAGUGUUAUUUGUCAACCAGAAUGUGUAGUGCAUGGUGUGAGAUCCUCUACGAUUCACUCGUUUUCUUAUUUCUUAUUAAUCUUGCAUUAAGACAUUGUAAACAUGGUGAAACAGGCAUGAUAGCGUGUGUAAGAUCCAUCUCUAAGUAUUUAUUCAAUUUCAAUAUAAACUACCUGUUUUGCAUACUUCUUCUCUAUUUUGACCUCAUUAUUUUAAUAAAAGAGGCUGUAAUAACUUGUAUUUCUAUAAGUGACCAAAAAACAAUAUGUUGUGAUCUUGUAGGACACCGUGCCUGCAAUGUACAUUAUCCAACAACUAAAUCUAGCAGUUUCUAUCAAAUCCCACCCCGCACACGUCCUUACUAGCCAUGUGAUGCGCGAUAUGACUUUGAGUAUCUUGAUACGUUAAACGCCAAGACACUCAAACUUGAGAUUCUUAAGCUUUUGCUUAGUCACCUACUCACUUCUUACUUAACACUUUCAUAGAUUAGGCAAUAAACAACUUAACAAAAAAAAAAAAAAAAGACAAACCAAAAACUUUUAUUAACUUUAAACAAGGUGUUCUACAACACUUAAUAAAAAUUACAUAAGUACAUAACUUAAAUUGAAAACAAAACGCUUGCAGCUCUUCUCACCCAACAAAUUCUCAGUCUUUCCUUACUUGUGUUAACGCCUGAAGCCUGGAAAAUAAACUUUAAAACAUAAGUCUAAAAGACUCUGAAGGUUUUAUAAAAACCUUUUCGCAAUAUACCUUUCGUAGAUUUUACGUAAACACAUCUUUUCUUUUCUUUUCUUUUUUUACAUAAACAUAAUAAAUCGCAUAAGUACUCAUUCCAUAAGAACACACAUUAGUCAACAGUCAUUCCUUUCUUCAAGGACCUAAAUCAUUCUCUACGCAAAGACUCCUCAUCUCACAUUUAGACUACUGAGAUGGCCUUCUCAUCAUCAACAUCCGAGAAUAUCCUGAUUCAUUCAUUGUUGCUCAGGCUGAGAGCCAAUGCACAUCUUUUAUACAUUGUUUCACCUCAUUUCACCAUGCACAUCUUUUAUCCAUGCCUGCCUUUACACUUUUUUUUUAUAAUAGUUAGCUCAUUGGUAGGAAAUAGACUAUUGGUUUGAACAUCAUUUCAUAAACAUUUAUAACAUAUAAAACAUGCUUGAAAUCUUAGCACAAGCUUCCCAUAGAAAUCUCUUGAAAAUAUUCGUAUUGAUAUCAGUAUCAAUAAACACUUUAGUAAGAAAGCUUGAAAUUAUGUAAAUCACUUUAAAGAAACACUCACACUACUUGAUUACUUAAACUUCAAAAACUUCUCUUUUUCUUCUUAGAUAGCUACUUCAAUAGCACUUCAAUACUUUAAAUUUUGUCUUUAGAAUUUUAAAGUAACAAUACUUAUGAAUUUGGUUGAAGACCACUAUUUUAUAUACUAGUUCAAAAAUAACUAAGUCACCCUUAAACUCUCUUGUUAGCUUGCUAGCUCAUACUCUAAGUGGUGCACAUGCUUACCUUAAACCUUCACACGUGGCCCAUUAAGUAAACUUAGAAAAUUUUGGGGAAGUUUCCUUACUUCUUCUCACCUAAUCUUUCAUCUCGCGUAGUACCUUAAUCUCAUAGUACCACAUAAACGUCAAGAAAUCUUAUCGCGUAAUCUUUCCUCAACACCUAAUUUACUUAAUUGUCAACAUCUUAUCGAAUAGACUGCUCAAAACGUCCUCUUUGGAACACUUAGCUAAUGAUUCAACCUUUCUUAGAUACAAGUCUUAUACUUCCCCUUAGUCCAGAGAAUUUCAUUCUAGUCUAAAAAGUCUAAGAUAGUCAAUAAAUCAAAAUAUGAUCAAAACUAUCAACAAUAUUCCAGUUCAAUACAUAUCCACUAUAUAUAAUCAUUCUAGUACAUAUCUCAGUUCAGUCAUCAAUGUAGCAAGCCAUCAAUACAUUUUAGGGUAAUUAUAAUUGAUGACCAUUUUAUGAAUAAUACUUAAGGAUAUAGCAACAUUUAAAAAGAAAUUACAAAUAUAGCAAAACUAUCGGUGAUAAACUUCUAUCAUUGAUAGAAUUUCAUAAAUUUUGCUAUAUUUGCAAUUUUUUAAAAAUGUCACUGUAUACUUAAUUAUUUUGCAUCUAAUGGCUAAAUUUGCAACUAUCCCUACAUUUGAACACUACUCAUCAAUAGUCAAAUCAUCUUAUACGGUACAUUUAAACUUCAUUCUAAGGUUCGGUAGUAGAAAUUCGUUACCUCAAGAUUAGCUAGCAAUCCUUGGUUGACAGUCAAUUUUCUUAAUUAAAUUAGUCCUAAACAUAAAGGGAAAGUAAUAAUAACUUUACUUUAACAAAAUAAUCUCACCUAAUUCCAAAAAUUAAUUUGCUAAGCACAAAAAAUGAUAUUUGAUGGGAAAAACCAAAACCCAUUCAAAAGCUUACUGAAAACCCCUAAAUGUUGGCUCAAAAGGUUUAAAAAGAAGUUGCAAUGGCUUGGCUUACGUGGCUCGAGUAACAAAGGGAGAUCGACUCAGAUCUGGGAUGCAGCUUAGAUGUGGCUACGCAGCUCGGUGAGGGAGAAAGCAUACAUGUGUGUCUCAGUUGGGAGAGGAGAAGACCGACUUAUAAUAUAAACGUGCAUCUAAGAGGGGUGGAAGCUUCGUCUUUCGACUCGAGAAUGGAAGAAAACACACUGAUCAUGCGACUUGAGUCCACGAUAGAGAGGAAGCACUUGUCGAAGGUCGAAUAGUGAACUAGUGGGAUGCUCAGGCUCUUGAGACGUGGAGGCUUGACGAAAACUGUGUGACGGUAAACAACUGCUAUGGUUGGUGAGCUACACGUGUUACGACUGAUAGGAGAGGAGGUUGUAGCGGUGAACGGGGGCAAGAAAGUUUAACGGUCAGAGAAACCCUGAUGAUGGCGGUGGCUAGUAUUGAAACAUGAGGGAGAAUAAUGGAGAAGGAGAAAGGGUUUGCAUGCAAAUCUAGGUCUCUUUUCUUUUAAUAAUAUACUACUACUACUACUAGUACAUCCCACACAAAAUGAACUUCAGACUAGAGUUCGAAUUAGAGUUUAUAAAUAUAUAUUACAAUGCAAGCAAUCUAAACAUCUUCCAAAUCUGUUAGUGAUAAAAAUAAAUCACUGAAAGAUCUUUAAGCAAUAUCACAAAAAAUAUGCACAUUAAACUAAAGUAUCUACUAACAUCCCUAAACAUACUCCAAGUUUAUCUAUGAAAGCAUUUAUCAUUGAUAGACUAAAACAUUCACCAACACACCUUAACGCAAACAAACAGAUUAGCAUGCCGAAAAACAAGUUCAACAUCCCUACACAAACAAGUUUAACAUUCUCCAAAUCUAUCAAUUAGUGAUAGAAACAUAUCACUGAUAGACUCUAAGCAACAUCACACAAAAAGUGUACUUUAAACUAGAGCUUUUACUAACUUCCCAACAUAAACAAGUUAAACAUAUUCAAGUUGAUAGAAACAUCACUGGUAGAACUUUAAACAACAACACAUAAAAAUGUACAUAAAACUAAAUUAUCUACUAACAUUCCAAUGCAAACAAACAAAACAUCUCUCAAGUCUAUCAAUGAUAUAUAAACAUAUCACAAAUAGACGUUAACCCUCAGUAACAACACAACACAAUGAAACAAAAAAUGAAGAAACCGAUUUCAAACAAAUAAAAAAAGAGGAAAAUCUAUUUAAAACUUAUUACGACCAAACAGAAAACAAAAAGUGUAUCUGGCUUGUUGUAGAGGCAUUUUCAUCUUUUCCUAAUUGAUAAAUUCGUAUUCGAACAAAAGAAGCUCUAGAUGUUUCUCAAAUGUUAAAUUUGUAUUCCCUUCUUGUAAUUUCCAUUUUUUCCACUAAAAUUAUCUAUAAAUGCAAAACAAAUCAACGUACUGUAAUUAACCAAUGUUUUAAAUCUAUUUUUUUUGGUAACAAUUAAUUUAAAAGCUGCCAACAAUCUCACCAUAACCUAACCAUACUUCAGUCAUUCAUAUACAUUGACAAAUAGGCACGACAAUAAAUGUACCAUUAUGGUCAUUUAUUAACUAUACAAAACCAAAACCUAACUUUUCUUUUUAUCUUGAAAUUUGACAAUUGGUGGUGUGCUAAGGUGUUAUUGUGCCUAACCUACGUCUCCCUUUCUCAAUCUACCAUCUUAAUUAUAUUUAUACUUCAAUUUUAGAAGUCAAUUACUGAAGUAUGACAAAAACAAUUGACAGAUUCCAACCUUUAAUGCUCAUAUACUAAAAGCUUUCCCAUCGGUAAGAUAUCACUUUCCAUGACGAACUUCUAAUAAUAUUGCAACAUAAUUUAGUCUUUCAUAUUAAACGUUCGAAUCAUUAUUUGGUAGAUUAAUAAUUUGAGGGGUAUCCACUACAUAAAAUAAAUAAAUAAAACUUAUUAAGUAUAUUUGGGAGUCCUUCCUGCCUCAAAGAUGAACUUAUGAGUGACUUAUUAAAAUUAAUUUUUAUAUUAUAAGUUAUUAAAAAUGUAAGAAAUAAACCCUAAAUCCUAAACCCUAAAAAGUAAAAAUCAGUUUUCCGAAAUUAUUUAAUUGGAAGUUUGUUUUGUAAAACUAUUUAAUCAUACAAUGUUUCCAUAUUUUAUUUAGUUUCAAUCAAAGAAAAAUUAUUGUAAACAAAAAAUUGUUGAAAUAUUUAUAAGUCUAUCUUGGAAGGAGGAUCAUUUUUCUAUAUUUCAAAAGUAAAAGUAUUUUUUAACGUUAAUUAUUAAAGAAUCAUAUUAAAAUAAAAUUUUUAAAAAAUCACAUUAUCGAGGAAUACAACAAAAUUUAUAAAAAAUUACAAAUAUAGCAAAACUAUCGCUGAUAGACUUGUAUUUUGCUCAUAGACUCGUAUGGUCUAUCAGUGAUAGACCAAUAUUUGCAACAUGAUGUAUCGGUGAUAGACUUCUAUCAUUGAUAGAAUUUGACAAACUUUGUUAUAAUUACAAUUUUUUUUAAAUGUUGCUAUAUACUUAAUUAUUUUGAAUUUGAUUGUUAAAUUUUCAACCAUCCCUUAAAAGUAUUAUUAGUUGAAAUAAAAAAAAAAUUGAGGUCUUGAUUUUCUAGAAUUCUCGUGUAGACGAUCAAAUUUUUCUAGACUUAGUCUCAAGAAAAAAAAUGAAUUUAUAAAAUUUAUAAAAGAAAAAAAAAACUUCCUUCGUAUAAAAGCUAUUUCUACGACUAACGUUGAAAAAAUGUAAUAAUUUCUCACAUUUUUAGGUGAUAGAUUUCUUUUUUACAAAUCUAAUAUAGCUUAAUUGAUGAAAUAAUUCCAUCAUAACUUAUUUGGCUUAUUUUUUUUUAAGGGUGUUCUAGGGUGGUAAUACUUUUUCAUACAUAAACAACUCUCCUGAACUCUUUGUUAAUUUACUAAUUUUGUUUACUUCUGUUUUUCAAAUCGUCCUAAAAGAGCUUAGUACUUACUUCAUUUAUUUUUUUAAAAUUAACUAUUUUUUAGUAUAUGAUGUGAUCGAAUUGAACUCUUUGUUAAUUUAUUAAUUUUGUUGAUCCUCGUAAAAGAGGUUAGUGGUUACUUCAUUUAUUUCUUUUAUAAUUAACUAAUUUUUAGAAUAUGUUGCACAUCAUCCCACAGUCACAUGAAAACAAAGUAGAAAAAGAAACAAUGAUGUUUAUUUCUCUUGAUAGUCAAUUAUCUUGAGAAAAACUACUUUAACGAAUACUUGACAUGAGCUAAAAUUGAUUUUUGGAAGAAUUAGUUUGCACAUGGUUUUUGUUGAAUUGAUUAACUGUCAAUUAAAAAAGGUUAUCCUAAUUCAAUUUUGUUAAAUUUUGUUGUUUGAUAAUUUAUGAAACAAUUCAGAUCUCCGAUAUUUCUUUGUGACUUAAUAACAUCAUCCUUACUUAUCUUAAAGACUUAUUAAAGUGAAAGUCGCUCUCACAAGUUAACAUGAGUUCAUGCCUUGUCCUCACUUACAUGCAUCUUAGAAAAAUUCUCAAGAGGUCACUUACAUGCUUAGUUUUGGAGUUUCUAUGAUCGAGCCACCAAAAAGGAAGGUACACCUUGUUGUUAUAGAUAUUAACAUUUAAUUGUUUUAAGUCUUUCUUAACCUUAUUUUCAUGACUCUGAGAUCCUUCUAAUUCAGAUGUGGUAUCGGUUCAUUCAUGUCCUCCUCCUAAACUCAAGGCGUUAGAGUAAUGUCCAAAAAAAUUAGGGUAAUUUUUUUACUUUAUUAUAUAUCUUGAAUAAUUUAUGAUUAUAUUAUGAGUGUUAGAUUAAUUGGAAUCGAAAGUUAAGAAAUUUAUUUGGUUUAAUGUCUUGGAUUAACAAAGUAUAUAUAUAUGGGUAUUUAUAUUUAAUUAAAAAAUUUCAAAUUUGAUUGAGAGAAUGUUAUUAAUUAUAUAAUAAAACUAUAAUUAAUUAAUGAGUGAAAAUUGAUAAUUAUAUAUUAGUUGUCAUUUAGUUAUGAUUUCUCCCUUCAUUGCGUAGAGAAAAGGUUUAUAUUUCAACCCUUCAUAGUUAAUACGAAGAAAAAUGUGUAGGGUUUUCAUAAUUCUAAGAGUUACAAAGCAAAAUAUUUUUCCACUGGCUAAAUCUGGAACGCAACUUCCAUUCCCAAAUUUUCUUCGAACGCAAGAACUUUGACAUUCUUUAAUUUGAGAACUACUGGUGUUUGAGCAAGUUGAGUUACAAACUAAUGGUAGAGAGUGUCCUACCUUCACUUCCACAUCUACAACAACAUCAAAUAAUUCAAAUAAAAAUUAGUUUUUCAUUGAUUGGGACAUGAAACUCUUUAGGAAUGAUCUUAUGUAAUUUCCAUUUCUUUCUUAUUUGUACCAAAAAAAAUCACUUAGAAAUUUGUAGUAACAGAGAAAAAAUUAGCACUUCUUACCCGAGUAAACACAAACGGAAAGCACAACCAUUGUAGUGAGAAAGAUCUAGAAAAACUUUUGUGCAUUCAUCUUUUCGUAAGCCAAAUCGUUUUCUUGCAAUGUGAUAUUAGCUUUUGAAUUAAACUCACUUUUAUAUAGUAGUUUUGUAUUAAAUUUUGGUUCAUGAAUGUUCUUAGAUUCUCGAUAUUAAAAGCCAAAACUUUAAAUUGCUUCAAAGUUGUUCAAGCGUAUGGUUGGGAUGUUUAGCUAAAUUGUUAAUUUAUUUUUGAAGGUGUUGGAAGUAGCGUUGGGUCCCUUGAAUUCACAACCAAUUUGUGAAUUUUUUAGGGUUUGGUUCGCCAAUAUCUUGGUAUGUUAGAACUUACAUUGAGGAAAGUAAGUGAGAUAUGUAUUGUGAAAGUAAUCAAGUUUCGUAUUGUUAUGCUUAGGAUUACUUCGUGGACGUUAGUUGAUUAAGGAGCUUCCCUAACUUUGAGGUAAGGGACUUUCUACUGGACUCACCUAAAGUUUUGAGUUGUGUUGACUGUAUGGUUACAUCGAAACUUAGUAGGAAUGAUGGUUAUGAUAUACACAUUUGGUUGCAGACUAAAUGUUUAGUGUAUAUCAUGUUUAAUUGGAUAUAUAUAUAUAUUCAUAUAUUUAUGUAUGGAUUGAUGUGGAUUGUUGAAUGUAUACUGUGAAUGACUGAAGUUAUGCAUAUACAUAACUUGACGUAGAUUUGAUGUUGAAUAUAUAUGGAGAUUGUCUGGGAUUAAACAUGCAGGUGUGGAUGUAGACAGGAUGAUAUUAGUAUACUGUGCUGUAUAAAAUUUUGGAUGUGAACUGGAGAAUUUGUUUUGGUUGGAUGUGGAUUAUACUAAACUGUGGUUUGUACUGGUAAAUUGAGGGGUGUUAUGACCUUGUAGUUUGUUUGACUGAUGAAUUAAAAUGUUAUCAACGGUCUUUGGACUAAAGUGGAAUAGGUUGAUUGAUAGAAUGUUAAGUGAAAGAACUUUAUAUUUUGAAGUAACGGAGAGGUGUUAUAAAUGAUUGCUAAAUGUUUAGAAUGGACUGAGGGGUAAAUUGUUGACUUUUAUUGGGAUGUGUGCCUUGUAGGUGUCCUACGAGAUCACCAAUUAUUAUGUAUCCUUCGGGAGCAUUAGACUGAUAUGUGUUUAUGUAGAACACUAGACUGAAAUGUACGUCCCUCGGACGUUAGACUGAUACGUGUAUCCUAAGGGAUCACAAGACUGUGACUGUGCAGGGUAUCCCAAUAGAACGUUAACAAUUUAUUUUCCCCUAACGGGACCAGUAGUGGGUCUCUUACUGAAUAUUUUUAUACUCACCCUUUUAUGUUUAAUUUUUCAAGCAAAGGUAAUGAAGGUGGCAAACCGGCGAGGGGCAGGAAGGAAGCGUGAUCGCCGUAGGGGACACUUUAAAUUCGCUUCCGCUUAGUGAUUUACAAUAUUGUUUUGUUUUCGUACUUGAGACUGUUUAGAAAAUUUGAGGUUUAAAUGCAUUCAAAGACUAGAAACUUAUUAGUUUAAUUUUCUUGAAAGUUUUGGUUAUUUUAAAUUGGGCCCAAACAAAACAUCCACCAACCACAAGCUUUUCAAAAAUUAUUCUGCUUCUGUAAUUGCACUAAAUUUUAGUGCUUUAUGUUAGUAUUUUGUGUUGUUUACAUUUUGGCUUAUCUCUAGCCUUCCUGUAAUUUGGACACCUUCCUCGGUGCUUUAUUGAAUAUAAUCUUGCGGAUGAUGAGGGCGUUAAGAGGGUGCCCACCUAGUGGAAAUGCUUGAAUGCGCCUACUGACCUAUCACUUUCUAAAAAAACGAAAUGUUUUUAUGUUAAAGUAAGGACCUUAACUUAGUCUGAAAAGUUGGGUUGUUACAGUUACACACCGAUUCCAAAAAUUUAAUUUUAACUCAAUCACUUUUUCUCAAAUUAUUUAACAUACCAUGAUCUGUAAGGAUUUGUUACACAAGGCAAAAAAACAUAGGUUGGCUCAAUCGUCCUACUAAAAGCACAUUUCAAAAUUUAUCUAAAAUAAGCAAGAUAACCUUUAUCAUUUUGACUAUAAAAUAAAUGGCUAUCCUUAGUACUCUAGUACUGAUAUCAAUAUUGUCAAAAGUUUAAUUAAAGCACUAUUUACCUUUUUUGUUUUCUUGUUGAUCUUUCCAUUAUUAAUAGCUUCUAUGUGCAUUUGUUGACAGAAAAAAUAUUGAUUCUAAUGGCAGCCAAAAGCAAGAUUUUGAUUGUGGGAGGGAGUGGCUAUGUUGGUAAGUUUAUGGUGGAAGCAAGUGCCAAGGCUGGCCAUCCAACCUAUGUUCUUCUUAGACAUUCUACUCUCUCCAACCAUUCCAAGUCUCAUAUUGUCAACAAUUUCAAGACCUUGGGGGUCCAUUUUCUCUUUGUAAGUUUGUUUUGUGUUUUGCUUUUCUUUUUGUCAUUUGCCAAUGGACUUCUCCAUAUCUCAGACCACCAUUCUUGAGUCAAAUCACUCCGAAAAACUUCCAUUUGUAUUUUAGUCUUUAGAGUUAUGUCCACUCAAUUUCUAGACUAAUAAUUGUAUAGCGUAAAUAUUGAACUUUCAGAUUUUUUUCAAAGAAUAUGGUGCAAAAUAAUUUCCAAUUUUAGUCAACUAAAAUCAUAAUUAAUUUUCACGAGUCAAUCAAUUUAGUUCUUUCAUUGUGAUAUUUGUCUUUAGAAAAUCGAAAAGAAGUGUAUGAAACAAAAAGAAGUGUAUGAAACAAUGGAUGGCGUGGGUUUUUUAGUUUUUUGACCUCAAACUAUUGUGCAGGGUGAUUUAUAUGAUCAUGAGAGUUUAGUUAAGGCAAUUAAAGAAGUGGAUGUGGUGAUAUCAACCGUAGGGCAUGAUCAAUUACCUGAUCAAUGUACACUCAUCUCUGCCAUCAAAGAAGUUGGCCAUAUUAAGGUCAUACAUAUAUAUAUAAUUUGAUCUUUUCUUUUUCUUAUUUCUUUGUUUGUUUAUUUAUGGUUCUUCUAAUUUUGUCUCAUAUAGUUUUGGUUUAAACUUUACUUUACUUGUUAGAGUUCAAGUUCAAAAUUAAAUCAACUUAGCUUUUCUAGUUUGUUGAGUUUCCAAUGAAUAAACACUUAUCUCUGAAAUUAUAGUAAUUGAGGUGAAAAUAAUAAUGUCAGAAGAACAAUUGGAAUAGGAAGAUUUGAUCGGACUUUGUGCUCAUCAAUGUACUUGAAUGACAGUUGAGUUAAGCUCUUCUUACCAAUAUCAUUUACCAAUGAAAAACAAAAAGACACAGUAGGGUUUCAAUUAAGUUUAUGCUAAUUUGUUUUGCACAUACUUGCAAUAUAAUAUCUUUUAGAGAGAAAAAAAAAUAAUUGACAUGUUUUAAAUGAUGAGUUUUGUAGGGAAUGUAAAAAAAGUUAGAAACGAUCUGUGAUGAACAAUAAUAGGGAUUUGAAUUGGAAAAAAGUGGCAUGACGUUAAGUUAAAAAAACUAGGGGAGGAGUAGGUAGGAAAUUAACACAUAUAUGUUUGAAUGAGUAGUUGAUGAAGAGGUUUUGGGCUUUGGGUGUAUAGAGAUUCUUCCCAUCAGAAUUUGGGAAUGAUGUGGAUCGUGUACGUGGUGUUGAGCCAGCAAAAUCAGCUUUUGCUGCAAAGGCUAAAGUUCGUAGAGCUUUGGAGGCUUCAAGGAUUCCUUAUACAAUUGUUUCCUCUAAUUUCUUUGAUGAUUGGUUUCUGUCAAGUUUGGCUCAACCUGAACCUUCUACUCCACCGUUUCCACCUAGAGAUCGAGUUUUUAUCAUUGGAGAUGGAAAUCCCAAAGGUAACAUUUUCUCUUUCACUAUUUAUUUACAUGUUGGAUGUGUUUCUUACGGUUAGAUCAAUGUUUUGAAUGUUUUGAUUCACCAACCAUGCUUUCUUACUCAUAAUAGAUUGUUUUUCUCUUUGUUCAUAUAUGAAAGGUAGUGUUUGUGAACUAUUUUGUGUCGAUUUUUAUUGUUUUUGUUUUCUCUUUUUUUUUGUUGUGGAUUUUUGUUUAGAAAUUUGUAUUAUAUGUUACUACAAUAAAUGUCUUCUUAUUUCUUUACUUUUACGUAGCAAUGAUAUUUUUUUUCUAUAAUUCAAACUUCAUUUCAAGUCGAUGUUCCCUUCACCUAUCACUAAGAUCUUAACUUUUUAGUUUUUAAAAUUUGGCUUGAUUUUUUAAAUCAUUGGUAAAAAGGUAAAUAACAAAUAAAGAAAUUUGAGAGGAAAAGUCGUGCCUAUAGAUUUUAAUUUUAAAAAAAAAAAGAAAAAAAAAAUCAAAUAGUUAUUAAACAAUACGUUAAUUAGUUUUGUUUGUUCCAUGUUGGUUUUCUAUUUUAUUUUUUAAGCUUAUUUAUUUUCUCAUAUUGUUAGCAAUAUUCAACAAGGAAGAAGACAUUGCAACUUACACAAUUAGAACUGUGGAUGAUCCAAGAACUUUAAACAAAAUCGUUUAUGUUAGACCUCCUAAAAAUAUUUACUCCUUCAAUGAUCUUGUCUCUCUUUGGGAGAAUAAAAUUGGCAAAACCCUCCAGAAAAUCUAUAUUCCAGAGGCUCAAGUGCUGAAGAACAUUUCAGGUUAGUUUUGUUUUUCUUUUGUAUUUUAUGAGCAAUAAUUAUAGCUUUUAGAAGAAAUGCUUUGAUUUCUUGAGUACGUUUGAAGUCUAUAUGUCUAUUUAGUAGUCUACAUGUGCAGUUUAAAAAUGUCUUUGGUCUUGGUGAUAUUUGUUCGCCAACACACGAGAAACUCUAUUUUCUAUUAAUAUAUUAAAAAACCAAACCAAUUUAUGAAAAAUUUAAAAGAACAGACAGCUCAGUUGAUUCUUCUUUAAAAAAGAAAGUAAGAACUAAUCAUAGCAAAAGUGAGAGGAACAACCAUAAAUUUCAAAAACAAAAAACAUGAAAAUUGUUAUUUAACAAAACUAAACCGUGGUAAACAAAUCGAGUCUAAAUGUUUACCCUCUUGUUAUUUGUUCUUGGCAGAGGCUGAAUAUCCCCUAAACAUGAGGCUAGCACUUUAUCAUUCUGUAUUCGUGAAGGGAGAUCAAACCUAUUUUGAUAUUGAUCCAUCAAUUGGAGUGGAAGCCACAGCUUUAUAUCCAGAUAUUAAAUAUACAACUGUUGAUCAAUUUCUCAAUAAGUUUGUUUGAAUAACAAAAAGAAAAUGUUUUCAUCUUCCAUACCAUCUAAUUAAUUUACUUAAAUAAGUGAUGGAAGACUUUGGAUCUUCCUUUUGUUUGUGUGUUUUGUAUUAUGCUAAGUGAACUUGGGUUUUAUGGGCCAUCUUCUCUUCCGUGAAAUGUAUACGUUUUUAAGUUAUACUUAAUUGCAUUCUCGUUUAGUGUGUGUUUGGGAUUGCAUUUUGCAGUGAUUUAAUUAAAAAAUAAGUUGAUUUGAAAAAAACGUUACACGGCACCUAAAAUAAAUUUUGAAAAAAUGAAUUUAUAAAAUAAUGUGGUUUAGGAUAAACACCUAAAACUACUAUAACAAAACCGAACCUAAUGUUAAAAUUCGCGUUUUUGAUGGAAAAAGAUGAAAUUUUUCGGAUUCGAAGAAUUGAUGACAGUUUUUAACUGUCAUAAACCUAUGACAAUUUUUAAAUGUCAUUAAAUAUAAAUAAUAAAAUAUAGUUUUCAUUCAAAAUUAUUAAAAUAUAAUUUUCUCCCUUAAUUUCCCUCCAACUUUUCAUUAAAAAUUAUUAAAAUAUAAACUUACUUUUGUUUUCCCUUUCUUCUUUAUCAUCGUCCUGAUAGAACCCAAAAAAUCGAACCUUAAUUAACCUCAUUCUUCUCCAUCUCCAUGAACUUUCUUCUCAGCGACGGAGAUCCACGACGACAUCGAAUCUAAUUAACGUUUCGAAGACAACGACCCACACUCGUUUUCUCAUCGACGGCGACCCACACUCGUUUUAAAGAUUUCGAAGACAGGUUAGUGUUUAAUACCUUUCACUUUUGUCUUUCCCUUUUAUGAGUUUAAUCAGUAGGUGUAAGAAUUGGAACAAAACUUCACAUUUUGUUUGAUGUAACAAUUUAAUUUAAUAGGGAGGAAGUUCGGACAGUGGUAGAAGGCCCUCUGAUAUGUUCUUAUACUUUUUUUUUUUGUGGUUUUUAUUUUUUAUCUUAUCAAUUUAAUUUCAACUUUAACCAUGCAAAAUUUCACAUUUUUUCAUAAUUUGCUAUUUAAUUUGAUUAUGAAUGGUUUGUUUAACCCAGAAGUAGACAUUAAAAUACACGUAGAUGUUUUACUCUUACCUUAGCCAAAAUCAAUAUAUCAAAAUCAAAGUUUUUAUACAAUAACCUAUCUACAAAAUCUCGAUUGAAUUUCUUAAUUGAGAAUUAUAAAUAUUAUACAUCAACAAAAGUUACCUUGAAAUUACUAAGUGCAGAUUUUGUAGAUAUAUGGUAAAAAAAAUUAUCCAUAAAACUUUACGAUCAUGAAUUUUAAGAAAGAUAAUGUCAUUAUUCAUGAUCAUCAUUAACGUUGAUUUAGUUAUGAUUUCUCCAUUUAUUGCCCAGAGAAAAGGUUUAUAUUUCAACCCCUUUUUCUAUUAACAUAGUUAAUAAGGUUAUGAAGAAAAAUGUGUGGGGUUUUCAUAAUUCUAAGAGUUACAACAGCAAAGUAUUUUUCCACUGGCUGAAUCUGGAACGCAACUUCCACUCCCAAAUUUUCUUCGAACGCAAGAACUUUGACAUUCUUUAAUUUGAGAACUACUGGUGUUUGAGCAAGUUGAGUUACAAACUAAUGGCAGAGAGUGUCCUACCUUCACUUCCACAUCUACAUCAACAUCAAAUAAUUCAAAUGAAAGUUAGUUUUUCAUUGAUUGAGACAUGAAACUCUUUAUGUAAUUUCCAUUUCUUUCUUAUAAUUUGUACCCAAAAAAUUCACUUAGAAAUUUAUAGUAAUAGAGAAAAAAUUAGCACUUCACUUCUUACCCGAGUAAACACAAACGGAAAGCACAACCAUUGUAGUGAGAAAGAUCCAGAAAAACUUUUGUGCAUUCAUCUUUUCGUAAGCCAAAUCGUUUUCUUGCAAUGUGAUAUUAGCUUUUGAAUUAAACUCACUUUUAUAUAGUAGUUUUGUAUUAAAUUUUGGUUCAUGAAUGUUCUUAGAUUCUCGAUAUUAAAAGCAUAAAUACAUAACAAACUAAUAUUUAUUUCCUUUCGUACAAAUACAUGCAUAUUUUCUUAGCUAGGAAAGCAUGCAUAUUACAACAAUAAUUUCACACGUUAGAUAAGAUGCAUGCAUUUAUGGUCCAAUUGUAACCUAAGUUUUCACCUACGUUCAUGGGAGGGAGGGAUGGACCUCAUUUUUCAAGUCCUGAAAUCAACACUUUAAUAAAACUACACCAUACUAUCAUAGAUUUACAUAUAGAAAAAUUAUAGCAAAUGACACAAUUUAGGAAACUGAAAAGAAGCGUAGGGUGUGGAUUUUUUGUUUAGGAAACUGAAAAGAAGCGUAGGGUGUGGACUUUUUUAGUCUUUUAUCAUAAUUUUUCUUCAGUUAUAUAUGCAAUUAUUUUAUUCUUGUACUAUACAUAUUUUACUUUAGUGUCAUCGAUGUAAUUUGCCAUUUUAAGAACCUUGAAUUUUUACUAUUAUAAUAUAUUUUAAUAUUACAUAUUUGGUAAUAAAAUUAACAUAUAAUUAUUAAAUAAUUAAGUAAUUACAUGUGAGAUUACUUUAGAGUCGAAAUUCCAACCAAUUUUCCUUCUAAUACUAUAUUCAACAAAAUUGAUCCAUUCUCGAUCAAUUAUUACUAAACUUCAUUUGAUCGUAAAAACCCACAACACAAGGCUUAAAUCGAACCAUAGUGAAACAAAUCAAGAAGUGAAUAAACAAAAACUUGGACAUGUGAAUACCAUAUCUAAUUAUUACCGUUAUAAAAUUAAAUUAUUGAGUAUUUGUGAUGAUGCUAAUACACUGUAAGCCAUUAUUUUGUAAUAAUGAAUUAUUUCACGUGGCAAUAUAUGAUCUCUUACUUUGGGUCAAGGACCCACAUAUGCAGAUGUUAUGUCAUCGAACCUGGGUUACCAAUUAUUUCUCGUGUUCUGAUAAUUGCUUUUACUAUUUGUUACUUUACUUGUUCUUUUAGUUAUUGUAGAUACCGUAUUUUGUCGUAUUUUUUUUCAUUUAUUUAUUAUUUUUUAAAAGAAUUUGAAUUUGAAUUUAAAUUUAAAUUUUAAAUCUUAAAUCUUAAUUCUUAAAUGUUAAAUUUAUGUUUUUUUUUUUAAAAAAACACAUUUAAAUUUUAAAAGUAAAAGUUUUUUUUUCUCUCCUUAUUUUUCUCAACCAUCCCCUGUUUUUCUUGGUCACCAUGUUCCAGCUAGGGGAGAAUGAGAGGAUUUUUUGCUCGGGAUUUUUUUGGUGCCAGGAGAAUUUUUUUGCUGGGAGGAUUAUUUGAUAGAGAAGAGGGACACGUAAAAGAAAUUUUUUUUAGGAAGAGGUGAAGAGGAUCAACACACAACUUCUUGCAUUUAAGGCAGACCUGUAGGUUCUUUUCUUUUAUUCAUGCUUGAUGAUACUGAAUUAAUUAUUUGGCACUCAUUUGGGUGCUGUCUUAAUUAUUCAUUUAAAUUAGUAGUUAAUUAGUUUCUGUGUUAAUCAUUUGGCACACAUUUGACAUCUUUUAAUAUUUGCAUCAUUUUAAUCAUCUGACACCCAUUUGAUCUCUUUUAAUUAUUUGACACCCAUCCCACAUUCAUUCUGUGUAAAUUACUUACACCUAUUUCUGCAUUAAUUAAUUAACAUCCUGGCAAUACCCAUUUUUCAUUUGGCCUAUUAAUUAAUUAGCACAUGUCAUAUUGUUUUUAAUUUUUGGCAUCUUGAGUUAAUUAUUUGACAUCCAUUUGGCCAUUUGACUAUUUUGAUUGUUGAGUUCUGCAUCUAGUUAAUUAAUUUGACACCAAUUUGACUAUUUGGUUGUUGCGCUGAUUAAUUAGUUGUUUUGCAUCUGUUUAAUUAUUUGACAUCCAUUUGGCUACUGAUGGAUUAAUUAUUUGGCAUCCAUUUGGGUGCUAUGUUAAUUAUUUCAUUUGGUUAAUUAAUUAAAUGAUGUGUUAAUUAUUUGAUUGCUGUCUUAAUUAUUUAGCACCCAUUAGACACCCAUUUGGCAUACUGACUUAAUUAUUUGCUAUCUUUUUAAUUGUCUAGCCACUCAUUUUACGUUAUGUGUUAAUUGUGUGUAUACAUUUUGUAUCUUGCGUUAAUAAUUAUCAAUUUGACAUAUGUGUUAAUUAUGCAUUUGAAAUUAAUUAUUCAUUUGACAUACACUCUUAAUUAUACAUUGUUAAUUAAUUAGCACUAUGUAUUUGACAGUUUUAAUUUUUAAUUAUUUGCACAUCUUUAAUUAUUUUGGCACUCAUUUGGCCUUUUAUGUCAAUUACUCAUUCGAAUUAUUUGCAUUCUGUAUUAAUUAAUUAAUCACCAUGCAUAUUGCUAAAAUUAUUUGACAUCCAUUUGACUACCGUGAUUAUUUAUUGGCAUCUUGCAUUAAACCUACUUUGGCACUAUGCAGUUAAUUAUUAUUUCACAUCCUCGUCGUCUGGCCUGAUUAAUUAUUUUGCAUAGUUCUGAAUUAAUUAAGUAUUUUGCAUAUUUCUGAAUUAAUUAAUUAUUUUGCAUAUUUCUGAAUUAAUUAAUUAUUUUGCAUAUUUCUGAAUUAAUUAUUUUUCAUAUUUUUGAAUUAAUCAAUUAUUUUUCAUAUUUCUGAAUUAAUUAAUUAUUUUGCAUAUUACCCUUCAAGUAUUUUUCAAAUUUCAUAAUGUUUUGUCAUUGUUAUUAUUCAUUUUCCAGUUGAAAUAUAAAAAUAUAAAUUGGACAAAAGUAUUGUUUUUUAUGGAUUUUAUAAUUUAAAUUCCAUGAAUACAUGAAAUUUUUCUGUUUGAAAUUUUAAUUAAUAAAUUGUUUUUAAAUAAACACAUUUCAUAUUUUAAAUGAGACUGAGUAGUGUUUUCUAUGAAUUUAUUAAUUCUAGAUACAUGAAAUUUUUCAUUAAACACUUAUGAUAGAGAUUAAAAUAUCAAAUUUUGGUAUCUUAAUAUUCUUAAGGUGAAUAAAAAAAAUCUUUUAAAACAAAAACAAACUUCAUUUUUUAAUGGCUCCUAUGCCACCCAUAAUUAUCAAUUCAUGCUUCAAUAUGAAUUGAUAAACAUGAGACAUUUAAACAAAACCUAAAUAAAAACUUUGUUUUGUGAACCCUUAUAUUUAAUUUAAAAGAUAAAAUUGGCUAACCAUUUUGUGGGUGUUGUAGAGUGCUAACACCUUCCCUACACACAACGGACUCCCGAACUUAAAUCUCUGAAUUUACGUAGACUAUUUUUUUUCUUUUUUGGGUGACCAAUCACACCUUAAUAUGAUUGGUGGCGACUCCAAAACUAUUUAUUUAUUAAAAUUAAAUAAACGGGGAGGUCGGCCGCUCUGCGUAGCGAUCACGUCGCAACAACUUGGCGACUCCACUAGGGACAUUGCAAUGUGUAAGAGAGUCAAGCCAGUACAUUUUUAUCUUUUAUUCUUAUUAUAUUAUAAUAUGUUUGGUUCACUUAAUUAUUUGUUUUUUUAUUGAUUCAUAUGCAAUAUUUUGUAUUAUGAAUUAAUAAACAUUGAAUAUGAAUUGAUAUGAAUUGAUAAACAUUGGACAUUUUAACAAAACCUAAAUAAAAACUUUGUUUUGUGAACCAUUAUAUUUAGUUUAAAAGAUAAAAUUGGCUAACCAUUUUGUGGGUGUAAUAGAGAAAAAAUUUAUAGUAAUAGAGAAAAAAUUAGCACUGCUUACUCGAGUAAACACAAAUGGAAAACUCUUUAUGAAUGAUUUUAUGUAAAUUGCAUUUCUUUCUUAUUUGUAACAAAAAAAUUCACUUAGAAAUUUAUAGUAAAGGAGAAAAAAUUAGCACUUCUUACCGGAGUAAACACAAACAGAAAGCACAACCAUUGUAGUGAGAAAGAUCCAGAAAAACUUUUGUGCAUUCAUCUUUUCGUAAGUCAAAUCGUUUUCUUGCAAUAUGAUAUUAGCUUUUGAAUUAAAAUCUCGAUUGAAUUUCUUAAUUGAGAAUUAUACAUCAAGAAGCAAGAAAAGUUACCUUGAAGUUAAUAUUAGUGCAGAUUUUGUAGAUAGUAAAAAAAUUAUCUAUAUCACUAUACAAUCAUGAAUAUUUAUAGAAAGAUAAUGUCAUUACUCAUGAUCAUCAUUCGUGUUCAUUUAGUUAUGAUUUCUCCAUUUAUUGCGUAGAGAAAAGGUUUAUAAUUUCAACCCUUUUUCUAUAACAUAGUUAAUAAGGUUAUGAAGAAAAAUGUGUGGAGUUUUCAUAAUUCUAAGAGUUACAACAGCAAAGUAUUUUUCCACUGGCUGAAUCUGGAACGCAACUUCCACUCCCAAAUUUUCUUCGAACGCAAGAACUUUGACAUUCUUUAAUUUGAGAACUACUGGUGUUUGAGCAAGUUGAGUUACAAACUAAUGGCAGAGAGUGUCCUACCUUCACUUCCACAUCUACAUCAACAUCAAAUAAUUCAAAUGAAAGUUAGUUUUCCAUUGAUUGAGACAUGAAACUCUUUAUGAAUAAUUUUAUGUAAUUUUCAUUUCUUUCUUAUUUGUAACAAAAAUAAUCAAUUAGAAAUUUAUAGUAAUGGAGAAAAAAUUAGCACAUCUUACCAGAGUAAACACAAACAGAAAGCACAACCAUUGUAGUGAGAAAGAUCCAGAAAAACUUUUGUGCAUUCAUCUUUUCGUAAGUCAAAUCGUUUUCUUGCAAUAUGAUAUUAGCUUUUGAAUUAAACUCACUUUUAUAUAGUAGUUUUGUAUUAAAUUUUGGUCCAUGAAUAUUCUUAGAUUCUCGAUAUUAAAAGCAUAAAUACAUAACAAACUAAUAUUUAUUUCCUUUGUACAAAUACAUGCAUAUUUUCUUACCUAGGAAAGGCAUCCAAGCAUGCAUGUUACAACAAUAAUUUCAUGCAUGCAUUUAUGGUCCAAUUGUAAACCAAGUUUUCACCUACGUUGUUGGGAGGGAUGAACCUCUUUUUUUAAGUCCUGAAAUCAACCGUUUAACAAAAGUACACCAUACUAUCAUCGAUUUACAUAUAGAAAAAUUGUAGGAAAUGACACAAUUUAAGAAACUGAAAAGAAGCCGAUGGUGUUGAUUUUUUUUAGUCAAUUUAGGAAACUGAAAAAUUCAGAUGAUAAUAGUUGAUUGUAUAUUUCUCAAAUUUAAUGAUGAUAUGAUAACUAUUAGUAAUGACUUCCAAUUUUGAGAAACUCAAAAGAAGCCUAGGGUGUGGAUUUUUUUAAAAUCUUUUAUCAUAAUUUUUUUUUAUUAUAUAUGCAACUAUUUCAUUAUUGUGCUAUACAUAUUUUCCUUAACCUUAAGUGUCAUUUAUGUAAUUUGCCAUUUUAAGAACCUUGAAUUUUUACUAUUAACAUAUAAUUUAAUAUUACAUAUUUGGUAAUAAAAUUAAAAUAUAAUUAUUAAAUAAUUAAGUAAUUACGUGUGACAUUAAUUUAGAGUCUAAAUUCCAAUAGAUUUUUCUUUUAAUACUAUAGUCAACACAAUUGAUGCAUUCUUGAUAGAUUAUUAUAACCUUCAUUUGAUCGUAAGAACCCACAACACAAGUUCUUGCUUUUUGUCACGAUGACCAAAUUACACCCAUGAUUGAUACAAAAGGAAGGCUUAAAUCCAACCAUAGUGAAACUAAUCAAGAAGUGAAUCAACAAAAACUUGGACAUGUCAAUGCCAUAUCUAAUUAUUCCUGUUAUAAUAUUAAAUUCUUGCCCCUAAUGAGAGAAGAAAAAAAGCGUUUUCAUUCUUAAAGAAGAAAAAGAAACAAUAAUUUCUCAUAAAAUAAUACUUGCAACUUUUUUCCUCUCUAUAUUGCUGACCAAGUGGAAUUUAUUUUAAAACAUCCAUGUUUUCUAUUUGUUUUCUAAUUAAUCACUCACAUUUUUGCAUCCACCACUUAAAAGAGAAUAUAAAGCAAAAUUGACUGAAAAGAUAAAUGCAGACUAACUUCAAAUUAUAGACCAAUCAGUCUCACUACAUCCUUAUACAAGAUCAUUCCAAAAACUCUAGCUACUAGACUGAAGCCUCUUCUUCAAUACACUAUCUCCAACCAACAAAUCACUUUCAUCAAUGGCAGACAAAUCACCAAUGUAAUCCUAAUUGCUAAUGAAGCUGUAAACUAUUGGAAGGCAAAGAAGAUAAAAGAUUUUAUUUUCAAAUUGGAUAUUGAAAAAGCCUUUGACAAGAUCAACUGGAACUUCAUAGAUUAUAUCUCGAAGAAGAAGCAUUUUCCUGAUAAAUGGAGAAAAUAAAUAUAUUCAUGUAGCUACUAGACUCCCGCUUCUAUGACUGAAAAUAACUGUCGCGAAAUUCGUUUACGGUAGUAAAUAACCGUCGUCGUAGACCACUUUUGUACUAGUGUAAGCAAGUUUUAGAAGCAUAAGAUAGAAGUUUUUUUCUUUUUCAACGAACUUUCUCAUCCACUAUUGUCUUAUAUUACUUUCUUGAUAUGGACCAGGAGACCUAACAAGAAGCAGUUACAAGAGAACAUCAUUUCCUAAGAUAAUACCAUACGUUACAAAAGUAAUGAAAUUUGAUACUUCCAAUGUUUGUAGCAUUUGUUUAGGAACAUAAAAUCACCUUCGAUAGCAUCACCAACAUUUGUAAUGUUUUCUCUCAUAUAUAUGUUUUCUCCAUUAUAUAUGUUUCAAUAGACUCAAUCAAUCACAAGAGAUAACCAGAAUGGACUGGACAUAACCCAUUUGAUAUAGUUUCAAGUCAACAAUAGAUGGUCGAUUCAGUCAAAUACAUUUCAAACACCCAUUUUAUUGUGAAAGUUGAUGAGCUAUGAAAUAUUCUCCCUCAAUUAUAAACUUAAUUAAAAUUUGUUGAAGUCAAACAAGUAAAACAAUAUUAAUUUUGAGAGAAAAUAUCACUACUUUGAUGUCAUGAAAUUUACCAUAAUCCUUCAACUUUAACAAUCUUAUUCAUGCUAGAUCACUUACACAUAAACAAUGCAUAAUAUCUGUUUUUGUUGUUCUUUUUUCUCCUCUCUUUCUACCUACAUGCUUUCUAAGCUUUAAGUUUUUGAUUAUAUUAUAUCAAUUCAGGUUGAAAAAAGAUUGCAGAAAUUAUAUAUACUUUGUUGUAGGAAGAUGGAAACACAUAAUAGUAGCUAUUAAUUCACUAGUUUUGGCUGAUAGAAAAGCAAGAAAGAAUGACAUAGUUUACAAGCUUGCCCUUUAUUUUUAGCAUAUAGUUUAACUAGUUUAAAUGCUAAUCCUUUUGUGUGGAAUUACUUGAUGUGGUCUAGCAAAACUACUCUAUUAAUUAACUAUACAACACAAUACAAAGAAGUAUAAAAUGUUAUAUACUUUGUGUUUUAGGAUUAAGAACGAUGUUCAUAACUUGUUUUGUAAUAUGAAUUAAGAACAAUAUGUUUCUAUGUUGUAAGUAUGUAAUGACCAACUAUAUUUAUAUGUUCCAUGAGAUAUAUAUAUAUAAUUUGUUAGUUGUUUAGUCAAAAGUUUGGGUUGAUUUGAGAAACAUAACUAGUGCAAUUGAUCCUAUUAUAUACCAUUGUUAGAUUUAUAUCCUAUUAACCCAAGUGUUACCUUAAGGUGUCAAAUUAAUUUAUAUUUUGUUUUUCACUUUGAGUCAAAUUUACCUUUAACCUUAAAAAAAUAUUUUCAUUUUUUUACUCUUACCUUAGCCAAAAUCAAUAUACCAAAAUACAUAUUUUUAUAUAAGAACCUAUCUACAAAAUCUCGAUUGAAUUUCUUAAUUGAGCAUUAUAAAUAUUAUACAUCAAGAAGCAAGAAAAGUUACCUUGAAAUUACUAAGUGCAGAUUUUGUAGAUAUAUGGUAAAAAAAAUUAUCCAUAAAACUUUACGAUCAUGAAUUUUAAGAAAGAUAAUGUCAUUAUUCAUGAUCAUCAUUAACGUUGAUUUAGUUAUGAUUUCUCCAUUUAUUGCCCACAGAAAAGGUUUAUAUUUCAACCCCUUUUUCUAUUAACAUAGUUAAUAAGGUUAUGAAGAAAAAUGUGUGGGGUUUUCAUAAUUCUAAGAGUUACAACAGCAAAGUAUUUUUCCACUGGCUGAAUCUGGAACGCAACUUCCACUCCCAAAUUUUCUUCGAACGCAAGAACUUUGACAUUCUUUAAUUUGAGAACUAUUGGUGUUUGAGCAAGUUGAGUUACAAACUAAUGGCAGAGAGUGUCCUACCUUCACUUCCACAUCUACAUCAACAUCAAAUAAUUCAAAUGAAAGUUAGUUUUCCAUUGAUUGAGACAUGAAACUCUUUAUGUAAUUUCCAUUUCUUUCUUAUAAUUUGUACCCAAAAAAAUCACUUAGAAAUUUAUAGUAAUAGAGAAAAAAUUAGCACUUCUUACCCGAGUAAACACAAACGGAAAGCACAACCAUUGUAGUGAGAAAGAUCCAGAAAAACUUUUGUGCAUUCAUCUUUUCGUAAGCCAAAUCGUUUUCUUGCAAUGUGAUAUUAGCUUUUGAAUUAAACUCACUUUUAUAUAGUAGUUUUGUAUUAAAUUUUGGUUCAUGAAUGUUCUUAGAUUCUCGAUAUUAAAAGCAUAAAUACAUAACAAACUAAUAUUUAUUUCCUUUCGUACAAAUACAUGCAUAUUUUCUUAGCUAGGAAAGCAUGCAUAUUACACCAAUAAUUUCACACGUUAGAUAAGAUGCAUGCAUUUAUGGUCCAAUUGUAACCUAAGUUUUCACCUACGUCCAUGGGAGGGAGGGAUGGACCUCAUUUUUCAAGUCCUGAAAUCAACACUUUAAUAAAACUACACCAUACUAUCAUAGAUUUACAUAUAGAAAAAUUAUAGCAAAUGACACAAUUUAGGAAACUGAAAAGAAGCGUAGGGUGUGGAUUUUUUGUUUAGGAAACUGAAAAGAAGCCUAGGGUGUGGACUUUUUUAGUCUUUUAUCAUAAUUUUUCUUCAGUUAUAUAUGCAAUUAUUUUAUUCUUGUACUAUACAUAUUUUACUUUAGUGUCAUCUAUGUAAUUUGCCAUUUUAAGAACCUUGAAUUUUUACUAUUAACAUAUAUUUUAAUAUUACAUAUUUGGUAAUAAAAUUAACAUAUAAUUAUUAAAUAAUUAAGUAAUUACAUGCGAGAUUAUUUUAGAGUCGAAAUUCCAACCAAUUUUCCUUCUAAUACUAUAUUCAACAAAAUUGAUCCAUUCUCGAUCAAUUAUUACUAAACUUCAUUUGAUCGUAAAAACCCACAACACAAGGCUUAAAUCGAACCAUAGUGAAACAAAUGAAGAAGUGAAUCAACGAAAACUUGGACAUGUGAGUACCAUAUCUAAUUAUUACCGUUAUAAAAUUAAAUUAUUGCCCCUAUUGAGAAAAGAGAAAAACUAAAAGCUAUUUCAUUCUUUGCAAAAAGAAACAAUCAUUUAUGAUAAAAUAAUACUAUCAACCUUUUGCUCUCUAUAUUACAAACCAAGUGGAAUUUAUUCUAAAACAUCGAUGUUUUCAAUUUGUUUUUCUAAUUAAUCACUUACAUUUGCAUCCACCACUUAAAAGAGAAUAUAAAUCAAAAUUGACUAAGAAGAGAAAAUUAAAUUGGUGACAGCCCCUAAUUGAUUCUAAUCAGACAAUUGAAAGGAAAUACGAUCAAAUUACCAUCAUUAUUUAGGUUAGGUUUGAUAACUAUUUAGGUUUCAAGUAUUAAAAAAAUUAAAGAAUUUGAAAAGGAAAAUUGCAUCAAAUGACAAAAGCAUGUAGAAAAAUAAGUUCAUGACACUAUUUUUUUUUUUGCAUAUUGUGAAUAUAUAUGACAAAAUUAGUGAUAUCAGACGGCUAUCAUACAGUAAUCAUAGAGCUAUCGAAUGGUCGUCUCUUAUAAAUUUGUUACUUUUACAAAUUUAGAAAAUGUUGUAACACGAUCUCUAUUAUCAUAAAUAUUUUUGCUAUUUUUGUAAAAAGCCUUUUUAAAAACUAGAAUAUUUUUUUUUUAUUUCUAAAAUUUUGUCUAGAGCUAUUGAAUUUCAUAAAUAUGCAAAAAUUAUUGCAAGCCAAAUUAAUUCUAAGCAGAAAAUUGAAACGAAAUACAAAGUUGUCAUAAUUUUUACAUCCUACUUGAUAGUUUUUAUUAAAAUUGUCAAGUAAAAUAAAAAAACGUCAAGAAUAACGAAAAACUAGAAAAAUGCAUCAUUAAAAAAAAAAAUUCAAUACUUGACAGGUUAAAAGCGUCAAGUACACUUUUGUUUACAUGACAUUUACACUUUUAUUUACAUGACAUUUUUUAAAUGUAAAAAAUUACCUAAUUUUAAAUAAACAAAAUUAAAAUUAUUUUGUUGGGUUUUUUUUUUUCUUUUUGUGGUGUUUGUCUUUUUCAUCUUGCUUGUUUCUUAUCUAUCUAGAAAAUGAUACUGUAUGUGGAAAUCUUCGAAGUACCCACGUCAUUCCCAAUAUAAUAUUCAAUAAUAGGAACUCGGAGAAAAAGUUCAUGUUUAUAGGAUGGCUAGAGAUAAGCCAAAACUAUAAACAAAUACAAAAUACUAGCAAAAAGCACUAACUAGCAAAAAGCAUUGAUGGGUUGAGCUAUUAGCAAAAAAUAACAACUUUGCUUGUUUCUUAUCUAUCACUUUCCGUAUCUUGAAUUUCCUAAUUCAUUUGAUUACAUGCAAAUUUGAGUGAAUUGGUUCUCAAAGUUUUGAUUUUGGUUUUUGUUUGCACGUGGGGUUUGAUUUUUCUGAAACGUAUGUAGCCACCUAAUUUUAUCAUACAUUUUCUUUGUAAUCUUUUUUUAAAAAAUAAUAAUGACUAAGACUUUUAAUUUUGGAGCAUUAUUAAAAAUAAAAAAAUAAAUUAAAAUAUUUACAAGCUAAAAUCGGAGGCAAUAGACGCAACUUUUCCGAAAUAUAUUAUAAAUAUGAAGCGACAUCAUGUUUCAGUGUCGAGAUUAGUAAGCAACCGGACAGUAAGAUGCUUAAGUAACGUUGAAGCAUUUUCUUUUUGGUCUGCAGACCUGGAAAAGGUGACUAGUACGCUUUCUAAAUUCUUGCAAAACCCACGUGUUCAAGGAGCCAUAAGGUAAUCUCUAUAAAUGUCAAGGUUUUUGAGUUUCUGCUUUUAGUAACUAAGUUUUAUUUGGAUGACUUUAAAUGUUAGGAGUUUUGUGGCUAUUUACUGGUUUUCAGAUGAUUUAAAUUAUUGUUCUUUUUUUAUUUUUGUGAAAAUCUUUAAAAAAAAUGUUCACCUAGCAUCCACAUUUUUUUGGUUAAUAAGUUAACCAUUUGCAAACUCUCUAUUAUAAUGCAAGCAUUUAGGUACACAAGAACAACAGAAACUUAAGUAAAGAGUCCAAAAAGGAAAGUAUGGAAGGCAUCUAACUAGAGCCUCUCUAUGCGUAACUUAAAGUGUGCAGCCUAGGCAAGUUUUAGAAGCAUAAGAUAGACGUUUUUUUUUUUUUUUUUCAAUGAACUUUCUCAACCACUAUUGUCUUAUAUUACUUUCUUGAUAUAGACCAAAAGACUUGACAAGAAGCAGAAUCACAAGAGAACAUCCUUUCCUAAGAUAAUACCAUACGUUACAAAAGUGUAACAACCCAACUUUUCUACCAAGUCAAGGUCGUUAAUUAUUAUUAUUAUUAUUUUUUUUUUUUGACAAAAGACCUGAGUUUACACAAGUUUGCCAAAUUCAAUUAAAUUAAAGUCUUGAAGAAAACAAAUCUUUAUGAUUGGUCCCUGUUUAAAAUAACCAAAAUAUUCAAGAAAAAUUAUAAGUUACCAGUUUGUGAAUAGAGUAAAACCUCAAAUUUCUUAAAAGGUCUCAAGAAAAAUUAUAAGUUACCAGUUUGUGAAUAGAGUAAAACCUCAAAUUUCUUAAAAGGUCUCAAGUACGAAAACCGAACAAGAAAAUAAAUCAUCAAGCGGAAGAGAAUUUAAAAUAUCCCAUAAAACAUAAAGCGAAAGCAAAAUGAUGUAUUUCCCCAUGGCAAACACGCUUCCUUCCUGCCCCUCGCCGGUUUGCCACCUUUGUUGCCUUUGUCUGAAAAAUUAAACAUAAGGGGUGAGUAUAAAAAUACUCAAUAAGAGACCCACUACUGGUCCCAUUAAGGAAAAACAAAUUGUUAACGUCCUAUUGGGAUACCCUGUACAGUCACAGUCUUGUGAUCCCGUAGGAUACACAUAUCAGUCUAACGCCCGAGGGACGUACAUUUCAGUCUAAUGUUCUGCAGAAACACUUAUCAGUCUAAUGCUUCCGAAGGAUGCAUAAAAAUUGGUGAUCCCAUAGGGCACCUACAAGGCACACAUCCCAAUAAAAGCUAACAAUUUUUUCCCUUAGUCCAUUCUAAAACAUUUUGAUAAUCGUUCAAUUUGCAAUUCAAGCUACCACUAUUUCAUUCUCUGAGUUCAACACUUUUACAGUCAAUUUAUGCAAUCCAACACCUAGUCAACAUUGUUCUAAUAGUUUCUCAACGAAUAACUUAUACACAAGUAUCACUCUUCUCAAUUUAGUCCGUUUAAUUUAAUUCAGUAACCACAGGACGCUACCUAUGCCCUAACAUAGCAACCAACAAAUCACAACUUGAUCAGUUCAGUCAUCAUAGCCAACCAAGCAUACGUACCAGUCAGUCCAUCUCAAUUCAUAGCCAAACAGUCAAAAAUAAUAUUUGCAUAUCAGUCAGUCCAUCAGACAAUACAUCUCAAUUUCAUUGUUGAGUCCAAUAGUAGGAACCCUUACCUCAAUUUUAUGCAAUUUCCUCAAUCGAAGUAAAUCCAAUAAUCAAAUCCUAAACAUAAACAACAUAAAAUCAACAAUGGUAUCUAGCCAUAAACAAACAGAGAGCUAGAAAAUUUCCAAUUAACUACAUCCAUCCAACCCACCCCAAACAUGAAUUUGACAACUUAGCCAAGGAGUGGGGAAUCCAACUCCAAUGAAGCUUAUUGCGAAACCCAAGGACCUUAACACCAAUUCACUAAUAUCGCCUUCAAGAAUAACAUCAAUUCAACCAAUUAACAUACAUCACAUCUCAAUGUAUUUACAAUGCAGAACCUCAUAACCCAUCAAUUUCAUCCUUACGAAAACAAACUUACAACAACGUAGAGACAGCGGCACACAAAACUAAAGCAAACGAGAUUGUGCAGAAAAUUUGAGCAUGGGUCGACUUCAAAUCCGCGGCUGGAAGGUGAGGAGGUAAGUGACGACACUCCGGCAGACCAACGGCUCGGAAGAAUCGGGCGACAGCUUUGCGAACGAACGGCGCGCGGCAGAGAAACGGGAUACGGCGGAGAGACGAUGCGGCGUGGCCUGGGCUUCGCGAGGCUGUUCGCGAACGGAGACAGAGACGGCGGCCGACAGUUGCAGACGGCGGCUGGGUUUCAGUUUCGGCGAAUGGAAAAGAAUGGGCGGUUGCUGGCUGAAGGGAGGAGGAAAAACUGAAGAAAAGAAAAGAGAAAAGAAGAAGAGAAGAGAAAGAAAAGACGAGAAAGAAAGAAAGAAAAAAUAAAUAAAUAAAAGAGUG